GGACUACCCGGGUUUCUAAUCCCGUUUGCUCCCCUGGCUUUCGCGCCUCAGCGUCAGAAGAGGUCCAGCGCGUCGCUUUCGCCACCGGCGUUCCUUCCGAUAUCUACGCAUUUCACCGCUCCACCGGAAGUUCCACACGCCCCUACCUCCCUCGAGACACCCAGUAUCAGAGGCACUUUUCCGGUUAAGCCGAAAGAUUUCACCCCUGACUUGAGUGCCCGCCUACGCGCCCUUUAAGCCCAGUGAAUCCGAACAACGUUCGCACGGUUCGUCUUACCGCGGCGGCUGGCAC
rnacentral:rRNA from 2 species